AUAUUGUAGAGAAACCCUAAGACAUUCACCUCCUUCCUCGUACAUUCUCUGCAACUCCGCCGGAGUCGCCGCCGUCGGCGAACGUUACCGUCUCCAAUCAACCUCAAAAUUACACCACCAAUGCCCCUCAUUUCCCUCUUUCCAACCCUGCCUUUGGUUUCUUUCGAAUCACAGCCAAACAUCUCGAAUAAUUAAUCAAAGGUUUUCCGUCCAUGACACAACCCCUCCCAAACUCCACCAAAUUUACACCCUAGAACCGCCUUCAUCUCCUCUGUCAAACCCCCUAAGUUUCGUUCUUCGAAUCCAACCGGAACCUUUCGAAUUUUAAUUUAAAUGUUUCCGGCCAAAACCCUAAGUGUGCCAAAUCGUGCCAAAUUGGCACAAUAUGAUACUUUCAUCAUCUGCAUGAAGAUUCCAUCAUCUAGGGCGUUCAAACAUCAUCAGAAUUGGCCGACUUUGGAAAAUAAUGAAUGGCCGGAGUUUCUUUAUCAGUACAUCUUCUGAUUUCCUAUGAACUAUAGAAGAACUGAUGUACCUCUGAGUUGAAUUGAAAUAGAAGCACCUGCCAGAUCCGAGUUCAUCUAAAUGCUGUCUAUAGUUGCUAGUUAAAUAAAUGCUUAGUACUUGUUUUUGCGUUAUUAUAAUGACUGUUUGGACUGUGUUGUAUGGACUAUUUUGGACUGUUUUGCUUACUAGUUCAUUCAGUAGUUCCUCUCCAGUAGUAAUAAAAUCGACUCAAGUAGCUUUGUAUACUAAAAAACAGGUUCAGCGGGGUCCAUUGGUUGUAGUGAAGGUGACUUAGCAGAUUGUACUAAUUAAAUGCAAGAUGUGGACUCAUGUUUCUCUUGGUAGUUUAUGCUAGGCAACAGUUUGAGUUGUACUAAGGAUUAAUACAAUAGGCGUUUGGACAAUAUUUGGUAAAA